GAGCAGAAAAGAAGAGAAAUCUGAAAGCCCAGCCUCUGACAAAUAUUUGGAUCGAAUCACAUCUCCUGCUUGAAUUCUAUUCUAAUUCCACCCCCCACCACCAGACUUGGUGUGGGGAGAGACUAACAUGAAAAGGUUUCAGUCAGAGUAACAUCUCUCAGUAUGUGUUCAUGAUCAAACAAUUCUGUUACUGAAAACUAAAAAACUGUACAUGAAAUCUAAUUCUAAGACCUGAUUGUGUAAGUUUCCAGCAGCAUCUCGAUGGACCAUUGCAAAAUUUUUGCUUAAAAUGCUCCAGGUCUAUAUGGUACAAGCUUAUGCAUGAACUACAUGCUAACAUACCUGACCCCCUUCAACUCUACUCAUUAAAACAUUCAAUUUAUUACAUAACUACUGAGGGGAACAUCGAAUGUUGAUACCCACCUGACAGCAACCAUGCAUUCUGAUGCAGAGGUGCAUGGUACUGAAAUGUAUCUCAUCAAGCAAACAAGUUUUGCAGAAGUCAAAAUAUCAUACACCUGCCAAAACAUCACAUUAAAAGCACAAUUGUAAGCCACACUGAACUGGUGUGAAGAGCAAGGACAGAAAUAUAGUGGCUGAACAAAUUACUGAGAGAUAAUUCAGCAUAAUCACAGCAAUCGAUCUAAAGACCCCUUGGUGGCCAGUUCCAUGACAAGCAUCCGUGGACGCACUGCUGCAGCCAGCAAAAAUACUAAACUAGGAUGAUGAAGAUGGCAAAGCACCGCAAGUUCCUGCAAAUACAGCACAAGUGUUUCUGUGAAUGUUUUCUCCAUCAGCAGCUUUAUUCAAGGGCAUGGGUGGGCAGGAGAUCAAAACAGUGCUGUGGGGGCAGCUGUCUUACAUGUAGGAGGAUGCAGAAGAACAUUUGGGAGGAACUUUUACAUUUUUACUCUUUCCUGUCAUCCAGAUUUUUUUUUAAAUAAAAAAUUAAGGGUUCAAUCCUGUAUUUAUUUAGCAAGCCUGAAUCUUUCUGCUGGUUAGGGAAUGAUGAGAAUUGUAAGGAGUUUUUUUCAUUUCUACAAAAAGUAUAAAAUUGCACCUUAAAUAGAUUAAAACAUUGGUAUUUCAACUUUC